rnacentral:rRNA from 1 species
GCUCAGGAUGAACGCUAGCGGCAGGCUUAACACAUGCAAGUCGAGGGGUAACAUUGUAGCUUGCUACAGAUGACGACCGGCGCACGGGUGCGUAACGCGUAUAGAACCUACCUUUUACUGGAGAAUAGCCUUUAGAAAUGAAGAUUAAUGCUCCAUGGUAUUGAUUAAUCGCAUGAUUAGUUAAUUAAAGAUUUAUUGGUAAAAGAUGGCUAUGCGUCCUAUUAGUUAGAUGGUAAGGUAACGGCUUACCAUGACAUCGAUAGGUAGGGGUCCUGAGAGGGAGAUCCCCCACACUGGUACUGAGACACGGACCAGACUCCUACGGGAGGCAGCAGUGAGGAAUAUUGGGCAAUGGAGGCAACUCUGACCCAGCCAUGCCGCGUGCAGGAAGACGGCCCUAUGGGUUGUAAACUGCUUUUAUACAGGAAGAAACACUGGUAUGUAUACCAGCUUGACGGUACUGUAAGAAUAAGGACCGGCUAACUCCGUGCCAGCAGCCGCGGUAAUACGGAGGGUCCGAGCGUUAUCCGGAAUCAUUGGGUUUAAAGGGUCCGCAGGCGGUCAAUUAAGUCAGAGGUGAAAUCCCAUAGCUCAACUAUGGAACUGCCUUUGAUACUGGUUGACUUGAGUCAUAUGGAAGUAGAUAGAAUGUGUAGUGUAGCGGUGAAAUGCAUAGAUAUUACACAGAAUACCGAUUGCGAAGGCAGUCUACUACGUAUGUACUGACGCUGAGGGACGAAAGCGUGGGGAGCGAACAGGAUUAGAUACCCUGGUAGUCCACGCCGUAAACGAUGGAUACUAGUUGUUGGGCAUUAGCUCAGUGACUAAGCGAAAGUGAUA